rnacentral:rRNA from 1 species
CCUACGGGAGGCAGCAGUGGGGAAUCUUGCGCAAUGGGGGCAACCCUGACGCAGCCAUGCCGCGUGAAUGAUGAAGGCCUUAGGGUUGUAAAGUUCUUUUGCCCGUGACGAUGAUGACGGUAACGGGAGAAUAAGCUCCGGCUAACUUCGUGCCAGCAGCCGCGGUAAUACGAAGGGGGCUAGCGUUGUUCGGAAUUACUGGGCGUAAAGCGCGCGCAGGCGGUUCGAUAAGUUAGGGGUGAAAUCCCUGGGCUCAACCCAGGAAUGGCCUUUAAGACUGUCGAGCUAGAGGACGAGAGAGGUGAGUGGAAUUCCCAGUGUAGAGGUGAAAUUCGUAGAUAUUGGGAAGAACACCGGUGGCGAAGGCGGCUCACUGGCUCGUUUCUGACGCUGAGGCGCGAAAGCGUGGGGAGCAAACAGGAUUAGAUACCCUGGUAGUCCACGCCCUAAACGAUGAGUGCCAGGUGUCGGGAAGCUUAGCUUCUCGGCGCCGCAGCUAACGCCUUAAGCACUCCGCCUGGGGAGUACGGCCGCAAGGUUAAACUCAAAUGAAUUGACGGNNGAGACGNGCGAGCGACGACGAGGAGAG